UGGUUGUCGUCAGCUCGUGUCGUGAGAUGUUGGGUUAAGUCCCGCAACGAGCGCAACCCUUAUUGCUAGUUACCAUCAUUGAGUUGGGGACUCUAGCGAGACUGCCAGCGAUAAGCUGGAGGAAGGUGGGGAUGACGUCAAAUCAUCAUGCCCCUUAUGACCUGGGCUACAAACGUGAUACAAUGGCUGGAACAAAGGGAGGCGAAGGGGUGACCUGGAGCGAAACCCAAAAAUACAGUCUCAGUUCGGAUUGAAGUCUGCAACUCGACUUCAUGAAGUCGGAAUCGCUAGUAAUCGCGGAUCAGAACGCCGCGGUGAAUACGUUCUCGGGGUUU
rnacentral:rRNA from 1 species